rfam:Gorilla gorilla gorilla genomic chromosome, chr7, whole genome shotgun sequence
GUUUAAGUCCUUGCUUUGGCUGAACCUAACACUAAAAUUGGAACAAUACCAAGAAGAUUGCACAACAUGGCCCUGUGCAAGGAUGAUAUGUAAGGUCAUGAAGCAUAGAAAAAACAUUUAU